rnacentral:rRNA from 1 species
AGAGUUUGAUCAUGGCUCAGAUUGAACGCUAGCGGGAUGCUUUACACAUGCAAGUCGAACGGCAGCACGAGAGAGCUUGCUCUCUUGGUGGCGAGUGGCGGACGGGUGAGUAAUAUAUCGGAACGUGCCCAGUAGCGGGGGAUAACUACUCGAAAGAGUGGCUAAUACCGCAUACGCCCUACGGGGGAAAGGGGGGGAUCGCAAGACCUCUCACUAUUGGAGCGGCCGAUAUCGGAUUAGCUAGUUGGUGGGGUAAAGGCUCACCAAGGCAACGAUCCGUAGCUGGUUUGAGAGGACGACCAGCCACACUGGGACUGAGACACGGCCCAGACUCCUACGGGAGGCAGCAGUGGGGAAUUUUGGACAAUGGGGGAAACCCUGAUCCAGCCAUCCCGCGUGUAUGAUGAAGGCCUUCGGGUUGUAAAGUACUUUUGGCAGAGAAGAAAAGGUAUCUCCUAAUACGAGGUACUGCUGACGGUAUCUGCAGAAUAAGCACCGGCUAACUACGUGCCAGCAGCCGCGGUAAUAC